UACAGAGGGGGCAAGCGUUGUUCGGAAUUACUGGGCGUAAAGGGCGCGUAGGCGGCCAACUAAGUCAGACGUGAAAUCCCCAGGCUCAACCUGGGAACUGCGUCUGAUACUGAUUGGCUUGAGUUCGGGAGAGGGAAGUGGAAUUCCAGGUGUAGCGGUGAAAUGCGUAGAUAUCUGGAGGAACACCGGUGGCGAAGGCGGCUUCCUGGACCGACACUGACGCUGAGGCGCGAAAGCCAGGGGAGCAAACGGG
rnacentral:rRNA from 1 species